rnacentral:RNase_P_RNA from 1 species
AUACUGACGUAAUCGCUGUAUAUGAUGCAUAUACAGAGGAAAGUCCAUGCUCACACAGGCUGCGAUGCCUGUAGUGUUCGUGCUUGACGAAACCAUAAGUCAAGGUGGCCAUCGAGGCUAACGGCAGCAAAAACCCCUAAAUCAAUUGACAUGGGGGAGUAUGCUUGAAAGUGCCACAGUGACGCAGUCGGGCUGGAAACAGUCCGAAUGGAACGCGGUAAACCCCACGAGUGAGCAACCCAAAUAUUGGUAGGGGCACCCUUGAUUAGGGAAAUGAACCGAAAAAGGGACAAGGAUUGCAAAUGCUUGUAGAUAGAUGAUUACGACCGAUGUACAAGGCUGACCACCGCAUGAGUACAACGGAACAGAACAUGGCUUACCAAG